rnacentral:lncRNA from 1 species
GACCGAUGGACUUACCAGUCUUGAUCGUUACAAAGGGCGAUGCUACCGCAUCGAGCGCGUUGUUGGAGAAAAAGAUCAAUAUAUUGCUUAUGUAGCUUACCCUUUAGACCUUUUUGAAGAAGGUUCCGUUACCAAUAUGUUUACUUCCAUUGUAGGUAACGUAUUUGGGUUCAAAGCCCUGCGCGCUCUACGUCUGGAAGAUCUGCGAAUCCCUCCUGCUUAUGUUAAAACUUUCCAAGGUCCGCCUCAUGGGAUCCAAGUUGAAAGAGAUAAAUUGAACAAGUAUGGUCGUCCCCUGUUGGGAUGUACUAUUAAACCUAAAUUGGGGUUAUCUGCAAAAAACUACGGUAGAGCUGUUUAUGAAUGUCUUCGCGGUGGACUUGAUUUUACCAAAGAUGAUGAGAACGUGAACUCACAACCAUUUAUGCGUUGGAGAGAUCGUUUCUUAUUUUGUGCCGAAGCACUUUUUAAAGCACAGACUGAAACAGGUGAAAUCAAAGGGCAUUACUUGAAUGCUACUGCAGGUACAUGCGAAGAAAUGAUCAAAAGAGCUGUAUUUGCUAGAGAAUUGGGCGUUCCGAUCGUAAUGCAUGACUACUUAACGGGGGGAUUUACCGCAAAUACUACCUUGGCUCAUUAUUGCCGAGAUAAUGGUCUACUUCUUCACAUCCACCGUGCAAUGCAUGCGGUUAUUGAUAGACAGAAGAAUCAUGGUAUCCACUUCCGGGUAUUAGCAAAAGCGUUACGUAUGUCUGGUGGAGAUCAUAUUCACUCUGGUACCGUAGUAGGUAAACUUGAAGGUGAAAGAGACAUAACUUUGGGCUUUGUUGAUUUACUGCGUGAUGAUUUUGUUGAACAAGAUAGAAGUCGCGGUAUUUAUUUCACUCAAGAUUGGGUCUCUUUACCAGGUGUUCUACCUGUGGCUUCAGGAGGUAUUCACGUUUGGCAUAUGCCUGCUCUGACCGAGAUCUUUGGGGAUGAUUCCGUACUACAGUUCGGUGGAGGAACUUUAGGACAUCCUUGGGGUAAUGCGCCAGGUGCCGUAGCUAAUCGAGUAGCUCUAGAAGCAUGUGUAAAAGCUCGUAAUGAAGGACGUGAUCUUGCUCGGGAAGGUAAUGAGAUUAUUCGCGAGGCUUGCAAAUGGAGCCCGGAACUAGCUGCUGCUUGUGAGGUAUGGAAAGAGAUCGUAUUUAAUUUUGCAGCAGUGGACGUUUUGGAUAAGUAAAAACAGUAGACAUUAGCAGAUAAAUUAGCAGGAAAUAAAGAAGGAUAAGGAGAAAGAACUCAAGUAAUUAUCCUUCGUUCUCUUAAUUGAAUUACAUUACAAUUUAAUUCGGCUCAAUCCUUUUAGUAAAAGAUUGGGCCGAAUACAACUAAGAUUCUAUUGCAUAUAUUUUGAUCAAGAUUUGAAAUACAAAAUCUAGAAAACUAAAUCAAAAUCUAAGACUCAAAUCUUUCUAUUAUUGUCUUGGAUCCACAAUUAAUCCUACGGAUCCUUAGGAUUGGUAUAUUCUUUUCUAUCCUGUAGUUUGUAGUUUCCCUGAAUCAAGCCAAGUAUUCCAACUCUUUCUACCCAUCCUGUAUAUUGUCCCCUUUGUUCCGUGUUGAAAUAGAACCUUAAUUUAUUACUUAUUAUUAGAUUUUAGAUUGUUAGAUUAGUUAGUGAUUAGAUAUUAGUAUUAGACGAGAUUUUACGAAUUUUUUUUAUUUCUUUAUAUUUAUAAGAGAGGACAAAUCUCUUUUUUUCGAUGCGAAUUUGACACGACAUAGGAGAAGCCGCCCUUUAUCAAAAAUUCUAUUAUUUUUAUAUUCUUUUUAAUAAUAAAAGGGGGUUCCAACAUAUUAAUAUAUAGUGAAGUGUUCCCCCAGAUUCAGAACUUUUUUUGAAUACUCACAAUCCGUAUUAGUUAAUAAUCCUAGUGAUUGGAUUUCUAUGCUUAGUCUGAUAGGAAAUAAGAUAUUCAAAUAAAGAAUUUUAUAGCGAAUGACUAUUCAUCUAUUGUAUUUUCAUGCAAAUAGGGGGCAAGAAAACUCUAUGGAAAGAUGGUGGUUUAAUUCGAUGUUGUUUAAGAAGGAGUUCGAACGCAGGUGUGGGCUAAAUAAAUCAAUGGGCAGUCUUGGUCCUAUUGAAAAUACCAGUGAAGAUCCAAAUCUAAAAGUGAAAAACAUUCAUAGUUGCAGUAAUGUUGAUUAUUUAUUCGGCGUUAAAGACAUUUGGAAUUUCAUCUCUAAUGACACUUUUUUAGUUAGUGAUAGGAAUGGGGACAGUUAUUCCAUCUAUUUUGAUAUUGAAAAUCAUAUUUUUGAGGUUGACAACGAUCAUUCUUUUCUGAGUGAACUAGAAAGUUCUUUUUAUAGUUAUCGAAACUCGAGUUAUCUGAAUAAUGGAUUUAGGGGCGAAGAUCCCUACUAUAAUUCUUACAUGUAUGAUACUCAAUAUAGUUGGAAUAAUCACAUUAAUAGUUGCAUUGAUAAUUAUCUUCAGUCUCAAAUCUGUAUAGAUACUUCCAUUAUAAGUGGUAGUGAGAGUAACGGUGACAGUUACAUUUAUAGGGCCAUUUGUAGUGGUCAAAGUCUAAAUAGUAGUGAAAACGAGGGUUCCAGUAGACGAACUCGCACAAAGGACAGUGAUUUAACUAUAAGAGAAAGUUCUAAUGAUCUCGAGGUAACUCAAAAAUACAAGCAUUUGUGGGUUCAAUGCGAAAAUUGUUAUGGAUUAAAUUAUAAGAAAUUUUUGAAAUCAAAAAUGAAUAUUUGUGAACAAUGUGGAUAUCAUUUGAAAAUGAGUAGUUCGGAUAGAAUUGAACUUUUGAUCGAUCCGGGUACUUGGGAUCCUAUGGAUGAAGACAUGGUCUCGCUGGAUCCCAUUGAAUUUCAUUCGGAGGAGGAGCCUUAUAAGGACCGUAUUGAUUCUUAUCAAAGAAAGACAGGAUUAACCGAGGCUGUUCAAACAGGCAUAGGCCAACUAAACGGCAUUCCCGUAGCAAUUGGGGUUAUGGAUUUUCAGUUUAUGGGGGGUAGUAUGGGAUCCGUAGUCGGAGAGAAAAUCACCCGUUUGAUUGAACACGCUGCCAAUCAAAAUUUACCUCUUAUGAUAGUGUGUGCUUCUGGGGGGGCGCGCAUGCAGGAAGGAAGUUUGAGCUUGAUGCAAAUGGCUAAAAUAUCGUCUGCUUUAUAUGAUUAUCAAUUAAAUAAAAAAUUAUUUUAUGUAUCAAUCCUUACAUCUCCGACAACUGGUGGAGUGACAGCUAGUUUUGGUAUGUUGGGGGAUAUCAUUAUUGCCGAACCCAAUGCCUACAUUGCAUUUGCAGGUAAAAGAGUAAUUGAACAAACAUUGAAUAAAACAGUACCCGAAGGUUCACAAGCAGCUGAAUACUUAUUCCAGAAGGGUUUAUUCGACCUAAUUGUACCACGUAAUCUUUUAAAAAGCGUUCUGAGUGAGUUAUUUAAGCUCCACGCCUUUUUUCCUUUGAAUCAAAAGUCAAGCAAAAUCAAGUAGAGCACUAAGUUCAAUUAUUUUUUUUGUGUUUGUAGCAAAAAGUAGUUAGUUUAUCGGAAUCAAAGUAAAUAAGAUAAUAAUGGCCUUUUCUUUGGUGAUAGAAGAUCGAAUUGUAGAAAGAAUUAAAACGAAAGUUGAGGAUAACUCUUUUUUUGACCUAUAUUCCUGAUUACGAAUCAAGAAACCUUUAUCACCAAGAGUGAGUUCUUCCUUUCGUGAAAUUAGUAAAAUAAAACGAAUUUGGUCUUGUCUUAGGUAUAUAAUUUGAAAUUUCAAUAGAGAUAAUAGAGUUUUGUAUCUUUCUCUAUCUACCGAAAAACCAUUUUAGCUAAAAAUCCAUGUUGGGUCGGAUUCGAAUGAAUCCGUCGAUAAUCUGUAAAAAACUCUUUAUCUAUUUUUAGAAAAGUAGAAGACAAGAACAAAAGACAAAGAAAUGAAGAAAAAUAAUAAAGUUUAUUAUCAUACAUAUCUUUCUCAUGGAGGAGAUGAAUAAGUCCAUUUAUUUAGUUCUACAGUUCUACAUUCUUUGCACUUAUUCUUAUUAUACGUACUCAGUUAGAUUUAGAUAUAUCGAUACUUCGAUCUAUACUAAGAAUUUCAAAUUCUUCAAAUUCUAUUAAUAAUAAAUAUUAUCUAAUAUCUAAUUAGAAUUCAAAUUCUUAAUUUAAUUAUAAUUAUUACAAGAUAUCUUUAUUUAUAUAAUAACAUAAUAACAGAUACAAAUAGUAAAUCGAGGUACCCCUUCUAUGACAAAUUUGAACCUUCCAUCUAUUUUUGUGCCGUUAGUAGGCCUAGUCUUUCCGGCAAUUGCAAUGGCUUCUUUAUUUCUUCAUGUUCAAAAAAACAAGAUUGUUUAGAUCCGCUGGGACCCAAUCUCAUCCAUUUUUUUUUUGAAAACGUGGACUUGUAUCAUAACACGGAUAUCUAUUUAUUGGAGUAUAGUAUAACAUGUGAUUUCCACCGAACAUAAAGGAAAAAACUCUUAUGCCCGCAGAAACAUGAUAUAUGGAUAUAUCAAUUCUAGCAAUUUUCAAAUAGAUCAGGAUCUCUGGAUGGCUGAAAUGUAGUCGGUGAAUCUAUAUGUAUAUCGAUAUGUAUAGUGGGAUCGUAUUAAAUAAAGAGUAUGUUAUUAUUUUAGAUUUAACCAAUUUGAUGAAUUACUCCUAAAGGUUGACAUCAAACUAGUGCUAGUUCACCUCAAACUAGUGCUAGUUGAUGAGAGUUACUUCGGAAACAAAAAAGUAAAGUCAAAUUUUUCUGGGGUAUUAUCUCAAUUCCAAUAAAAUGCAAUCGAGUAAAGUAUGACUUGGCGAUCAGACGAUAUAUGGAUAGAACUUAUAACGGGGUCUCGAAAAAUAAGUAAUUUCUGCUGGGCCUUGAUCCUUUUUUUAGGUUCAUUAGGCUUCUUAUUAGUUGGAACUUCCAGUUAUCUUGGUAGAAAUUUGCUAUCUUUUUUUCCGCCUCAGCAAAUCAUUUUUUUCCACAAGGAAUCGUGAUGUCUUUCUACGGAAUUGCGGGUCUCUUUAUUAGCUCUUAUUUGUGGUGCACAAUUUCCUGGAAUGUAGGUAGUGGUUAUGAUCGAUUCGAUAGAAAGGAGGGAAUAGUCUGUAUCUUUCGUUGGGGAUUUCCGGGAAAAAAUCGUCGCAUAUUCCUCCGAUUCCUUAUAAAAGAUAUUCAGUCCGUUAGAAUAGAAGUUAAAGAGGGUAUUUAUGCUCGUCGUGUUCUUUAUAUGGACAUCCGAGGCCAGGGGUCCAUUCCCUUGACCCGUACUGAUGAGAAUUUGACUCCACGAGAAAUUGAACAAAAGGCUGCUGAAUUAGCCUAUUUCUUGCGUGUACCAAUUGAAGUAUUUUGAUAAAUUGAGAAUCAGAACGUUCAUUCAAUUAAAGAAAACGUAUAUGAAAGAACCAUAAAACGAAACUCUUUUUAUGGUCUUUAUGUGCACGCAAUUCAAUAACAAAUAACAAAUCGAAAUAAUAGAUUCAUCUCAGACGGCAAACCAUUUCGAAAGCAAGAAUUUUUUUUAGUUCAAUAUUUGUUGGAAUUGACACUUUAGAUCCAGAUAGAUCGUAUCUUGUAAAUUUGAAAUUCUUUCUUUUGUAUUCUUUAAUGACCAACAAUUGGAUUUCUUAAUUAAAUACUGAGAACUAGCCAAUUUAUCCUUUGCUAGUCAUUUUUUUUUUAUCAUCCUAAUAUCUUUCCCUCAAUUAUUCUAUUCCUGACUAUGGGUAAUCAAUGAAAUUUUUUCGAAAUAUUGGAUAUUUUGAUAGCAAAGGAGUUCUUUCGUCUCAAAAUCUGAAUAAUAUUCAUUACUUAAAGUGGUUCUUUCGGUCAUUCAUCGAAAGGAUACACUUAAUUUUUAAUUUGACCAAUUGAGAUAUCAGGAAACAAUAUUCUCAAUUUCUUCAUUCGAAGUGAAUUCUUAGCCUAUUUCUGUAUUCUUUCUAGAUUCAAAGACUAACCACAAAAUCACAAAGAAAAUAGAUUCAUAAGUUCGAUACCUUGUAUAAAACUCAUGUGUGUAAGAAAUAUUCGAUCGCAUAGAGUGUACGAAUGGGUUGAUUAACAAUUUACAGACGAAAAAAAUGGCAAAAAAGAAAGCAUUCACUCCUCUUUUCUAUCUUGCAUCUAUAGUAUUUUUGCCCUGGUGGAUUUCUUUCUCAGUUAAUAAAUGGCUGGAAUCUUGGGUUACUAAUUGGUGGAAUACUGGGCAAUCCCAAAUUGUCUUGAAUAAUAUUCAAGAAAAGAGUCUUCUAGAAAAAUUCAGAGAAUUAGAGGAACUCCUCUUCUUGGACGAAAUGAUCAAGGAAUACUCGGAAACACAUCUCGAAGAGUUUGGGAUAGGAAUCCAUAAAGAAACGAUCCAAUUAAUCACGAUACAAAAUGAGAAUCGUAUGGAUACGAUUUUGCACUUCUCAACAAAUAUAAUCUGGUUUGGUAUUCUAAGCGGGUAUUCAAUUUUGGGUAAGGAAAAACUUGUUAUUCUUAACUCUUGGGCUCAGGAAUUCCUAUAUAACUUAAGUGACACAGCAAAAGCUUUGUGUAUUCUUCUAGUAAGUGAGUUUUUUCUCGGAUAUCAUUCACCCCCAGGUUGGGAAUUCGUUAUACGCUCUAUCUAUAACGAGGUUGGAGUUGUUGCGAAUGAGCAAACUAUAACUAUUCUUGUUUGCAUCCUUCCAGUAAUUUUUGAUACAUGUUUUAAAUAUUGGCUUUUCCGUUAUUUAACUAGUCUGUCUCCGUCAAUUUUACUGCUUUAUGAUUCAAUAACUGAAUGAUAAAGGAUCCAUUGAUAUUAAUCUAAUCCAAUUAGAAUGCUUAGUACUUUGUAGUUGUACAUAAGCAAAGUAUUGAAAAUCAUAUUUACUCUUCCUAUUUCUAACCAUCGGGAAGAUUCAUCCUAGAUUAUUCCAGCAAAUAGCAGAAUCGUGGCUAGGGAACUAUACUAGCGACCUACCCAAUUUAUUGUAGAAAUUUUCGCGAUCAAUGAUUGGACCAUGCAAACUAGAAAUGCUUUUUCUUGGCUAAAGAAACAGAUUACUCGAUCUAUUUCCGUAUCGCUCAUGAUAUAUAUCUUAACUCGGACGUCCAUUUCAAGUGCAUAUCCCAUUUUUGCACAGCAGGGUUAUGAAAAUCCACGAGAAGCGACUGGGCGUAUUGUAUGUGCCAAUUGCCAUUUAGCUAAUAAGCCCGUGGAAAUUGAGGUUCCACAAGCGGUACUUCCUGAUACUGUAUUUGAAGCAGUUGUUCGAAUUCCUUAUGAUAUGCAACUGAAACAGGUUCUUGCUAAUGGUAAAAAAGGGGGGUUGAACGUCGGAGCUGUUCUUAUUUUACCGGAGGGGUUUGAAUUAGCUCCUCCCGAUCGUAUUUCUCCUGAGAUGAAAGAAAAGAUUGGCAAUUUGUCUUUUCAGAGCUAUCGCCCCAAUAAAACAAAUAUUCUUGUGGUAGGCCCUGUCCCUGGUAAAAAAUAUAGUGAAAUAACCUUCCCUAUUCUUUCCCCGGAC